AGCCCAACAGCUAGCUCACACCCCAAAAUACAACAACACCCUAUCAAUAAACCCUAAUAACCCCAAACACCCAAAACAAACCAUUUUUCCCCCUUAGUACGGGCGACAGAAAAGGACAAGACGAAGCGAUAGCAAUAGUACCGCAAGGGAACGCUGAAAGAGAAAUGAAACAAAUCAGUACAAGCGCAAAAAAGCAGAGUUUAAGCCUCGUACCUUUUGCAUCAUGGUUUAGCAAGAAAAUAUCAAGCAAAGAGCACUUUAGUUUGAUUCCCCGAAACCAAGUGAGCUACUCCAAGACAGCCUAUUAAGGGCGUACCCGUCUCUGUGGCAAAAGAGUGGGGAGAGCUUUGAGUAGAGGUGACAGACCUACCGAACUUGGUUAUAGCUGGUUGUCCAAGAAUUGAAUAGGAGUUCAGCCUUUUGCCCUCUCCCCCCAACACCCCUACACGCUUUAAGCGCCCGAGAAGACAAAAGAGUUAGUCAAAGGGGGUACAGCCCCUUUGAAACAGACACAACUUUCCUAGUAGGGUCAGAAUCAAAGAAUACCAGGGAAUGUGUUUUAGUUGGCCUAAAAGCAGCCACCCACAUAGAAAGCGUUAAAGCUCAUACACCCCCCACCCCUAUUAUUUUGAUCAUGUUAUUCCACCCCCCUAAUAUACACUGGACCUCUCCAUCCAUAUGGAAGAGAUCAUGCUAAUAUGAGUAAUAAGAGACCUAGACUCUCUCCCUGCACAAGUAUAAAUCGGAACGAACCCCCACCGAAUAUUAACGGCCUCAAAGAAGAGGGGACUGGAACAUUAUGCAUAAACACUAGAAAAGCAUCCACACUAGAUACCGUUAACCUUACACUAGAGUGCUUACAAGGAAAGACUAAAAGAAGAAGAAGGAACUCGGCA
rnacentral:rRNA from 1 species